CCGCCGGUCGCGGAGGCGGUCACGACGCCGCCUUGCGCGCGGCGGCGAGCCGUACCGCGUCGAGGAUCUUCUCGUAGCCGGUGCACC
rnacentral:tRNA from 1 species